CACUGACCCUUCACCUUGCUUCCUUGAGCUUCUGGGAAAGAUAUCUCCAAUGAGUAUUUUUUUUAUAUACAUCCUUAUAUACUUAUUAACCCUUGAUAAUACCCCUCUCUGUCUCAUUGGAGAUAUCUUUGCCAGAAGCUCAAGGAAGCAAGGUGAAGGGUCAGUGU